AGUCACUGACAUUAGAUACCCCGGUAGUCCAGGGUGUAAACGCUGCAGACUUGGUGUUGGGGGCCCUUUGGGGCAUUCAGUGCCGGAGAGAAGUUGUUAAGUCUGCUACUUGGGGAGUACGUCCGCAAGGAUGAAACUUAAAGGAAUUGCGGGGGAGCACCGCAACGGGAGGAGCGUGCGGUUUAAUUGGAUUCAGCACCGUAAAACUCACCAGGGAAGACUGUUACAUGAAGGCCGAGAUGAAGACUCUGCUAGAUUUUCAG
rnacentral:rRNA from 1 species